rnacentral:rRNA from 1 species
AUUGAACGCUGGCGGCAGGCCUAACACAUGCAAGUCGAGCGGGGUUUUCGGACCUAGCGGCGGACGGGUGAGUAAUGCGUAGGAAGCUACCCGAUAGAGGGGGAUACCAGUUGGAAACGACUGUUAAUACCGCAUAAUGUCUACGGACCAAAGUGUGGGACCUUCGGGCCACAUGCUAUCGGAUGCGCCUACGCGGGAUUAGCUAGUUGGUGGGGUAAUGGCUCACCAAGGCGACGAUCCAUAGCUGGUUUGAGAGGAUGAUCAGCCACCCUGGAACGGAGACACGGUCCAGACUCCUACGGGAGGCAGCAGUGGGGAAUAUUGGACAAUGGGCGCAAGCCUGAGCCAGCCAUGCCGCGUGUGUGAAGAAGGCCUUCGGGUUGUAAAGCACUUUCAGUAGGGAGGAAGAGUGUUGUGUUAAUAGCACAGCAUUUUGACGUUACCUACAGAAGAAGCACCGGCUAACUCUGUGCCAGCCGCCGCCGUAAAAC